UUUUUUUUUUUUUUUUUUUUUUUUUGAGACAGCGGUGUCUUCUAGGCUGGAGUGCAGUGAUGCGAUCUCAGUUCACUGCAACCUCCACUUCUCAGGUUCAAGCAAUUCUCCCACCUCAGCCUCCUGAGUAGCUGGAACUACAGGCCUGCAACACCAUGCCUGGCUAAUUUUUGUAUUUUUAGUAGAGAUGAGGUUUCACCAUAUUGGCCAGACUGGUCUGGAACUUCUGACCUCAAGUGAUCUGCCUGCCUCAGCCUCCCAAAGUGCUGAGAUUACAGGUGUGAGCCACCAUGACUUCCUCUCCUUUUCUUGAAUGUGAUACCUUGGGCUGCAGCAGCUACCUUUCAACCAUGAGGAAAGAACAUGGCAUGCAAACAACAAGCUAAGGAUAAGUGAAGCAGAAAUAUAAAAAGAAGCUGGGUUUUUGCUGGCAUUUCUGAAUCAUUGCACCAAACUUGAAGACCCUUACUUUCUAUGUGAAAUAAUUAAAUAUCUAUAUUGCUCAAGCAAGUCUUGGUUGACUCUUCUGUUAUUUGCAGCCCAAAGCAUCCAAACGGAAUCAACUGUCCUUAUCACACUGAAUCAUAAUAACAAUCCUCUAGGGAGGGGAUUGUUUUUGACUCAGAGAAGUGAAGUGACAUAGUUAAUGUCAAGCUGGCAAGUGGCAAUACCUCUUUGGGAAGGGUUGGGAGGAUUUGAUUAUUGGUAAGAAUUUAAUUUCUGUCUCCUUCACUGCAUCUGUCCUAUCACAGUCUGACCAUGGGGCAUAACUUCCUCCCUUACCAUUCUGGUCUUUGGUCUUCUCUCUCUAUCCAUCCCACCCAGGGUCUCAGACUAGACCCAGGAAAAGCUGUUGUGGAGUAGCGGGGAGGCAGCAAGUCACCACAGUGCAUUCCUCGAUGGACUUUUCCUAAUGAGUGUGGCCAGAUUCUGGUACCAAUGACUGCGGAGAAACCCAAACCCAACUCAGAGAUAAUUCUGGCCUCUAAACAGCCCCUCUUUGGGGGAGAUGUUAUAGCAAAAGAGAGAAAGAGCUCAGAGACACAAAAACAGACAGAGGAAAGGAGGGAAAAACAGCAGGAGAAAGAGUAGAGAAGGAGGAGGAUGAGAAGAUGGGAGAAGAGAGGAUCUCAUGUUAGAGUUUGACAGGCCUAACAUUGAAUCUCAGUCCAGACACUGACCAGUAGCUGACCUAGAAGGGUAGGGAGAUUCAAACAGGCCCUUUGGAAGGCAGGGAAUUUGAGAGCCACAGUGGGGUGAGCAGGGGAAGAGUAACUGCUCCAGAUCCUGCAACUGAUUCCCCAAACCCUGGGUGGUGGUUAUGUGUGUAGGGAGCCCUCUCUGAGGGCUGCCCUGGAUUCGUGGGGAAGGCAGGGGCAGGAAUGGCCUCAGACUAGGGGAAAAGAGGAGGGCCUAUGUCAAGGCACAGAAAGCACCUGAGCUUCGCCUCCACCACCUUUGGGCAGUGGCCAGAGAGGAGCCUAGGGAUGACCUUUGGCCUGGGCAGUGGGCAGAGAGGAGCCUGGGGUUGGCCUUUGGUUUGGGUAGCAGGUAGAGAGGAUCCCGGUGAUGAUCUUUGGCUUGGGCAAUAACUGGGGAGGGGCUGGAUCACAUGUCUCCAGGGUCUGGCAUACAGCCAGUGCCCUCAGCUGAAGUACUGAGCCUAGGGCUGGUGGGUGAGGAAAGGAAGGAGCAGUUUUCCAGCGUUA
ensembl:lncRNA